rnacentral:lncRNA from 1 species
UAGGAGGAGGCGGCGCUGGAGCCGUAGGUCGCGGCCGCGGGGGCCGCACCGGCGCCGACGGUCUGCCUCUUCGGGGCGAAGUCGGGGUCGAUGUUCUCGAGGUCCACCGCCUGCUUGCGGGCGCCGAAGGACACGACGUUGCUCGUGGGGGCGGCCCUGUGCGUGGGCGCGGCGGGCGCGGGGGCGGAGUAGCCGGAGUUGGUGGUCGCCUUGGGGGCGAAGUCGGGGUCGAUGUUCUCGAGGUCGACGGCCUGCUUGCGCGCCGCGGGGGCCGCGGGGGCCGCGGGGGCGCCGCGGGGGGCGGGAUCCCAGGAGAAGUCGUUGGCGGGGGCGGCAGCCUUGGGAGCCGGGGG